CUCUUGGCUGUGGCAUCGAUGAAGAACGCAGCGAAAUGCGAUAACUAAUGUGAAUUGCAGAAUUCAGUGAAUCAUCGAGUCUUUGAACGCACAUUGCGCCCGCUGGUAUUCCGGCGGGCAUGCCUGUCCGAGCGUCAUUUCGUCCCUCAAGCCCCC
rnacentral:rRNA from 1 species